UCUGCCCUCUGGAGGCCGACAAAGUAAUAACAGCGGCCUGCCACAUGACUUCCUUUUCAAAGAACUGACCAUCCUGGUCACAUGCUCCCUGAAGACUCUUUCCCGGGAUAAACAUCUCAGAUAUGCUGAAUUCUUAUCUCAUCACAUAGCUUCCAGAUCUCUCUCCUUCCUUGUCUUCUGCCACUUCUGGGGGCCUACUGGUUCAACAUCUCUGAAAGGGUGGUCAAGGUAGACCUUAUUGAAAACGUGACUUGGAAACAAAGGAAACAAAGAAGUUAGCCAUGAAGGUAUCUAGAAAGGAAUGUUCUAGGCGGAGAAAAGCACCAUGCAAGGACACUGAGGGCUUGAACUCAUGACCCUGAGAUCAAGACCUGAGCUGAGAUGAAGAGUCGGAUGCUUAACUGACCGAGUCACCCAGGAGCCUCUGAUUUAUGCAUUUUGAAUCUUUGUUUCUAAGGGCAUGAAUAUUUAAGAUUAUUAUUUCUUUCUGAUAAAUUGAUGUCCUUAUAAUUUUGAAGUAUUCUUUUUAAUCUCUUGUUCUGAAUUCUAAUUUG